rfam:Parasutterella excrementihominis CAG:233 genomic scaffold, scf242
UACGCAGUGAUGCGUAGGCUGAAAGAAGCGAAUAGCAAAGUCACGCACCGACGAACAGGAAUCGUCUUAGGCGGAAGCAGGUGGAUGAGAGUGCAAAAUAACUUGAAAUCCGAAACUUGGUCGGAACCUGCGGCGUAGAGACGGCGGUGGCAUGGGACGAAAGAAAGUGUG